GCCCCUUAGUCUGCUUAACCCUCUGAAAACAAAAAUGUCCUUGUUCUAUUUUAAAGGGGAAGUGUCUGUCCUUUGUCAUAGGUGAACAGAAGAUAUGGAUAAUAUUCUUCUGAUAUGUUAACACAAAGCUGCAUAUGAGAAAGUUAAAAAAGGUGUCUAUUCAAUGUUCAGUGUGAUUGAAGUACACCAUAUUCAUAAGGCAUUGUUCUUCUACAGUGCAGAAUCGUGGUGGUAGCUUGUAACAAACCAACAAGGAGCAUUCUCAGUUGACACUGAUGGAAUACCGAUAGCAACAUUAUUUUUUUUUUCAUUCAGCAGAUACACUUUGUAUGUUGGAGCACAUAUUAAUCUCAGAAAAUUUUCUUUAUCUCUUUCUAGGGUGAAUAGCCUUAAGCCAUUAUUCCUCAUAAGGAAGAUGUUGCUUGCCGCGGGGUAGACAUAUCUUUUGUAUUAACUUGCUCCUGUUCCUGCGCCUUCUGGGACCGAUCUGAUGCCUCCACAGCGUUCCUUAAUUCCUCCAGUUCGGAUACGAGCACUCCAUUCCGCCUUUCAAGCAAAUUCCGCUCUUCAAUCUCUUGUUCGUGUUGAUGGGCUUCUUCUUCCAUCUGUGUUUGCAGGUCCUAGAAAGCAAGGCAUUGAAUUGGUAUUACAUGUGUAUUACAGAAACAACUAUUACAAAUAAAAUUUCACUAUUUAUACUUUA